AUAGCGUGUGAUGACAAGCAAGACAGGGACUCUGCAGCGCUCCGAUUCAAAUCCUGGACGCAAAUGAUGCAUCCGUCUAUGGGAAUCUCUGAUGCUAA